rnacentral:rRNA from 1 species
UACGUAGGUGGCGAGCGUUGUCCGGAUUUACUGGGCGUAAAGCGCGCGCAGGCGGCAGUCUAAGUCCUCUGUGAAAUCACCCGGCUCAACUGGGUGGCUGCGGAGGAGACUGGGCAGCUUGAGGGGCCUAGAGGCCGGUGGAACUCCCGGUGUAGUGGUGAAAUGCGUAGAGAUCGGGAGGAACAUCUGUUGCGAAGGCGGCCACCGGGACCAACACUGACACUGAGGCACGAAAGCGUGGGGAGCAAACAGG